UUAAACUUGUUUGGGAAAACCAAAUAUAUUAUAUAUUUUGCUUUGUUCAAAAUAAGGUUUUCUAAUAAAUUAUGUUUUUAUCAGAUAUGACAGAAUCUUUUUUAAAAUCUCUUCAAUAUGCUUUUAUUGCUUUUGAGAGGUUUUGUUACUUUGAGUAAAAUUAAGUGUUCAUAACAGACGGGUAGUCAUGAUUGAGUUCAUUGUGU
rnacentral:rRNA from 1 species